UGUAGUUAUCCAUUCUUCCCCGUUACCCAAACUCGCGAGAGGGAUCCCGGCCGCCGCCGCCGCCGCGGGCAACCUCGCGAGGCUUCUUCGGGCGGCCGUUACUGAGGAGACUUGAACCCGGCUGCGGGCCGCCGCUGUCGUCCGCUGCCACCGGUGGCUGUCUCGGCGCCGGUCUUCGGCUCGGAUCGCGGCGUCGGAGCUCCGGGAUCAAGGUGUGACUGAAUAUUGUGGAUCCAAUUAUCUGGAAUCUGGCCACUGGCCUUCUAUAUAUUUGCCCUUCAGUUAUAACCAUUUAUCAGGAAAGGGAAAAAGAUUGAAGAAACUCAAAGUACUAAGCAAUCAAGGAAGAAGAAGGAUCUGGUACAAUGUUUGUGGACAUUGCAAGUGGCAUGCUCUAUGUCAAGUGGCUCGGACAUGAAUCUUGCUAGGAGUUAGUUUCUGUAUGGAGAGGAAUUUUUUUUUUGCAAGUUUCUGAUAGCGAGAAUGUCCAACCUAUAGUGUGGCCGCAAGAGAUGAUGGAUGAUGUAAAGGCUUACUAUUUUGCACUUCUAUAAUAUUCUCAUUGUAAGAUAGAGAUUGAGUCUAUGGUUAUUGCUCCCCAUGGAGAUGCAUGUCGGUAGGAUUCUCAUUUAAAUAUAUUAUUAUAUUAUAAGAAUCAA